GCCUGAUACGGUGGCGCAUGCCUGUAGUCCCAGAUACUCGGGAGGCUGAGACAGGAGGAUUGCUUGAGUCCAGGAGUUCUGGGCUGUUGUGCGCUAUGCCAAUGGGGUGUCGGCACUAAGUUCGACACCAAUAUGAUGACCUCCAGGGAGCAGGGGGCCACCGGGUUUCCUAAGGAGGGGUGAACCUGUCCAGGUCGGAAACGGAGCAGGUCAAAGCCAGGCAGGGCUACCUGCCUCCCUACUCAAAACUAAACCAAAAACUGAGCUCUCAGAGGAGCCUGGGUUGU
ensembl:misc_RNA Metazoa_SRP Metazoan signal recognition particle RNA